rnacentral:misc_RNA from 1 species
ACGAAAUGUUGAACGUUUGGGAUUCGUGGGGUUGUUGCUGGCCUCUUUGUUGGGGGGUAUGUGCACGCCUUUGACCCGAGCGUUUCAGUCCUUUCUUCACACAUUGUGCACCCUAUGUAGCCGGGGAUGAUCACGAAGCCUCUUGGUUUCGAAAGCUCCGGCUAUGAAGUCGUCUACACGCGCUUUGUAAAGUCUUAUUAGAACGUUUGUAUCCGCGUCUGACGCGAAUCGAAUA